GUCUACGGCCAUACCACCCUGAACGCGCCCAAUCUCGUCUGAUCUCGGAAGCUAAGCAGGGUCGGGCCUGGUUAGUACUUGGAUGGGAGAAACAUACACACAGGCACGCAGUGAGCC
rnacentral:rRNA from 1 species